UACGAAGGGGGCUAGCGUUGUUCGGAAUUACUGGGCGUAAAGCGCGCGCAGGCGGUCUUCCAAGUCAGUGGUGAAAGCCCGGAGCUCAACUCCGGAACUGCCAUUGAAACUGUAAGACUUGAGGAUGAGAGAGGUGAGUGGAAUUCCCAGUGUAGAGGUGAAAUGCGUAGAGAUCGGGAGGAACACCCGUGGCGAAGGCGGCUCACUGGGCCGGUCCUGACGCUGAGACGCGAAGGCGUGGGGAGCGAACGGG
rnacentral:rRNA from 1 species